AGCAGCGUAAAAUGCGUAAAAUGUGCGUAAAUCUACUCAGGUGGUUUCAUAUUAUUUUUUUUCUCAUAUUCACGACUGAUGCAUGCAAGGCUUAAGAGUUUAUUCUAAAUAGUGAUUUUAAGACCUAUUAGGAACAAUUACAAUAAUCUGGUCGUCUGACCUGGCUGUGUAAUAGAAUACUGCCACAGUUAGGGGUUCAGAUCUCUCUGGGAGAGAGAAUGGAAAUACUUGAGGGAAAAGGGAAAUAAAAAGCUAAUUUAAUGGUGCGUGCUUUUUCUUGUACUCUAAACCUACAUAGCAAAAAAAAAAAAAAAAAAAAAAGGUGCACAGUGUUCAAAUUUUAAGAUGAGCAGUUUUUCCUGAAAUCUACUAGCUGAAGUUUUUGUGAGCAUCUAUAAAGUAGAAAAAUGCAUCCCAGGGUCGUGAUUUUUAAUUCUAUAAGACCAACAUCCUGCACUCUAAAUCGAAUAAAAGUCUAUUUAAUGGACCUCAGAGCAGCGUGUACACAUGUAAAACAUGCCAGAGAGGGAGAACAGUCAUGAUGUGGGUGCAGAAAAGGCGCUGCAGCCGGUGGAGCCCUUGCGCCUCGGCUCCUCAGGAGUUAACGCACAAAGGUUGCGAGAAUGCUUCCAUGCGGAAACGUCGCGCACAGGCAACCUCAGUGAAGCACAGUGAAAGGGAAAGUGGCAACCAAAACAAGGGCAAAUUGAGCAGUCCUUGGGGGAUUUGGGUGUGCGGGGUGGCGGUGCUGGGAAUCCGCUGUAGAGAAAAAAAAAUCCAGAGAUAUAGCCCUUAAAAAUGCGCGCCGUCCCUCAAGAUGACCACAUAACCCCAGAGAUGAAUGGGGCCUUUGUUAAUGUGUGGGACCCCUGCGCCUAUGGAUGCACCCAUGGGUGGUAAUAAGUUACAGAUAUAUAGCUCCCUCUGCACCCAUUGGUUGAGUUUAGGGUGUCCGCAGUCUGCUGAGUCCACCUGGCCAAAGCAAGGCCUGUGGCAGGUGAUUCUCUGACCGGAUUAAGUUUAUCUUGUAUGCAGGUUAGAGCUGCAUGUCACGCGUUAACCCCCAACACUGCCUCAUAAGCCCCUCAAAUCAAAGAUGACGCACAGACUUUUAUUGCAAAUGGGAUUUAAGAGCAAAUAUAAGGCAGUGGAGUAGCUGUGCACAGGCUGUGUACUCCAUGCCAGUGCCCCCCUUCUUCUUCUCAUCCCAGUAGAUUUAAUUUGGACUGGGCUCAAAACCGAGGGAGCCUCGUGGAUUUGUUUACAUUGAAUAGGCAGGCUAGGGGCCAGAGCCAUGGGGCCCUCUAUUCAUUAAUAUACAGUGAGGAUUUCUGUCUAAAUUACUGCUGUUCAAUCCACACUGCACGCUUUGAAAAGGGCGUCUCAGGCGGCCAGCAGAAACGUGACACCAAGAGUUGCAUACGCAGAGGAGAGGGCUCCUUACACAAGACAACCCCUCAAAAAAUAGAAAAAUACACAAUAUAUAUGAAAGGAGAGUCAAAAGCCAUUUCAGAAAUGCUCCCUGAAAUCACGGAGCGGCGAUAAAAAAAACACUCCUCUCUGAUAUAUGAUGUGUUUAUUAUUUAUUUGCUUAUUAUAAAAGGUCCCCAAGUUCCCUGCUGGGGGAGUUCAUUUAUUUUGUAUGCAAAAAAAAAGAAGGGAAAAAAAAGAAAGAAAGGGGGGAGAGGAAAAAAAAUCAUCCCCAAGUAUAACAAGAGACGAACAGUUAGUGCUGAUUUUCAUUUGCAUAAAUUUUCAUAUAUUUUAGUGAAAAUAAUAGCGGGAGCCGAGGAGUGCUCCUGCUCAGUUGAGGCAGAGGAAAGAAAAUCUUAGGGAGCACCGAGUCGUAGGGAAGGGAGAUAACCAUUUACAGGCUCCAAAUGAACAAUGUGAAGUUAUUUCCCUUCUCUUGGACACAAGGAGAGCCACAGCCCCCUGUUGCACACACACAUCCAGACACACACGCCAAACUUUGGUCCUAACGUGACACCCCCUUCUUGUCCCCCAUCCUCCCCCUCCACGAUGCACAACCUCUGGAGGUAAGGGCCCGAGAGCUGGCUGCGUGAUUGUGUGUGCGCUCGCACCGUUUCUCUCCCCCAGCAAAAGCGGACACGCCGUCUCCCCAGCUUCCGCUUUCCUCUGCACGCCUGCUGCUGGAGUAUUCACGCUUCGGGCUGUUUUCUUUGAGAGAGAGAGAGGGGGAGAGAGAGGGAGACGGAGUAUAAAAAUAUGCAAAUGCUAUUGUUGAAGCGCAGAACGAAGGAAGGGGAGGGCGCUUCUUUUACACCCCCUCACCUCCCCUGUCGCUGCUGCUGCUGCUGCUGCCACCGUUACCGCUUCCACCUCCAUCCAACCGUCCUUCCAACCAUCCAGCCAGUGUUAGGAGAGGGAGUGAGAGCAACAAGAAAGAGAGAGAGAAGGGGGGGGGGGGGGACUCUCAGGUUUGACGUGACAACAGGGGCAGGAUAUUAAAAAUAUGCUGAAAGGCCACCAUUGUCUGUUUCGGCUGAGGCCGCUUUGCAGAACCACGCACAUGUACACAAACAUACAUGUACGUCUACGCACACAUAGAGAAACACACAGGCAGAGAGGGAGAUGGAGACGUGCAGCUAUUGAGAUAAUGAAAUCCAUCACACAAACCACAAAGACCUACAAAUGUCCCUAAGAGAGGGAGAGAGAGCGAGUCAGAGGACUUCAUCAUGCUCUGUACAUUAUAUAAGCAUGUGACUAAACACAAUCUGGUAAUGCUUUAUAUUACAGCCCACAUCAUACGGCGCAAUUAAUCCCAAUUCACAGUUGUGGCACUAGUGCAGCACUAAAGCAGAACAAUACAUACUUGUAGAUAUAAGGGGAGAAGAUACUUUUAGGGAGUAAUGAGGAAACAACAGAAGCUGCACACAGCAACAAGAUGACGAUGGGCAAAACACAGACUUCCCUUCAUCAAUUAUUAAAGAACUAUUAAUGGCACUUUAGUGUGAGGAAAGGCCUGAGAAGGUACUUUAUUGUUAACAGUCACUUCUGACGUUUUAUAGCGGUCAUGCUAAUGUGACUUUGCCCCCAAAAUCCUCCCAACCGGCCAUCCACUCGCUUGCUUGUUUCAACACAUGAUGCAAAUUUUUAAAAUGGUUUAACCCUCUAACCCCCGGGCAGUUUCUGGGCAUUUGUUUUGUUGUCGGUCCUGCCGCGUUUGCGCUCAACGUGGGCUACUUUUUCCACAGCAACGCCAAAUCCCGCACCUCAGUAGAAACAGCACAACGCUGGCAACAAGGAGAGAGAAAUCCCUAAUCUCUUCUGUGCAUGAAAGUAAAGUCAUCAUGCGAGAUAAAAAAAAAAAGAGGAAAAACCAAGAAUCAGCAUGUUUUUCCAAGGUGUUUUCAUACUUGUCUCCCAUCUCUUCCUGCAGUCCAGCCCAGCUGAUGUCACUACAUUUCUUUUUCACGUGACCGUUAGUUGCACCUGUGUCACUCAUGACUUCUCAGUUUUGCCAAGGAGCACAGAUUUGUUCUUGUAUUUUACAGAUUUACAUUACAACAAUUGAUUUAUUUUUAAUAUUUUUUCUAAAGAUAUGUGGAAUAAAGUGAUUUUGAGGGGGAAAAAAGCUACAACUUCAGGCUUAUGUCUGGUUAAUUUUCCCCAUGCAACGGCGUGUUUCAGACGAGCAGUUCAAGGACAAUCAUCCAGUUGAAAAUCUUGUAAUUCUUCACGUUCUUGCACUUUAUUGCUCUGAUAAACAGUCUCAUUUUGGUGCAGUUUUACAGAUAGCAUGCCUUUUGGGGUUCAGGAGGUUAAGUGCAAGUAAUCUGCCUUGUAAUUGUGUUUGACUGGGCCCUUAAGAUGUGCCAUAGUGGAAAACAAGCUUACAGUUUUCAUAGUGGUAGAAACGGGUGACUGUUCCGCCCUUGUUCCCUAAACCUCAGAUCCUGCUUUCUUAUAAGCAUGUAUUGCUACGUGCUGUGCUAGUAUGCUAAAAAUGUAAAUUUGUAUUAAUUACGCUCUGGAAACCUGGCAGCAUUGUCUUUUAAUAGCCAAAGCGAUAAAACACACUCGAAUUGAACAGAGAGCAACAAAAGAAAGAGAGAAAGGGCUACAAACUGUGGAAGCUGUGCACACAGGUGCCUUCACCUCUGGGAGAACAGAUCUCGACUCAAGUUGAAGGUGCUUCGUUAUGUCAUAUUGUACACUGCGGUAAACCUUGAUUGCAUGCUGAGGAAGGGCAUCUGUCCAGAACAUGCCUGCAUGAUUUCAUCAAUUGUGCUCUUCCGUUCCGCUGAUGAUUUGCUGAAUUAAACGCAAAAACAGCCUAAUGACAAUCUGCAUAUAUCACGUGGUUUAUAGUUAGUUUCUAGUGUGUAUUUGGGAUACAACAAUUACCGGACACCUGCACAAAGACCUUCUAACUCUCUGAUAACUCACAUCAAACUGCCCUAUAUGGCAGAUAAUAGCUGUAAAUUAUGAAUGAAGCUUUUGAUAUGACUAUUUGUACUUUUAGCCAUGUACAUCUUAAGUACCAUAACAGCACAAAAAAACAUCAGGGUAGACAAGAUGUAUUGAUUCCCCUUACUUUUCUCCACACACUCUUUGAAAAAGAAACAGAGAAGGAGACAAUCACACAUAUACACAGACCGACACACACCCUCAGAGAGAGAGAGAGAAUGUGUGUGAAAGUGGGAAGCCCAUUUGUAAAGCCCUCACGCUCUCAGGAAGACUUUUUGAAGUGAUUAUGAAGACAGUUCAGAUCAAAGGAUUUGACAAGUCUGAGUGCGCGCCAAAUAUGAGGCCGGGUAAUCACACUGAAGCCCCUCCAUACAAGAUGGCAGUGGUCCCCCCAGCUGCUUUGCAAAUGUAAUGUGACACUUACGGAUAAACAGAUUAUCAAGAAAUGGAGGGGUGGGGUUGGGUGAAGGGACCAGAAGGAAAUAAAAAAUAAAUAAAUAAAAGAAGGAGUCCACAACUUGCAGAAACAGAUGAGGAGGAAGAGUUUAUUUAAUGAACUCCAGGGAUGGGCAGUGUCAGAGAAAUGAUGAUUAAUUCUCCGACGCUGAUACAGGUCUAAACGAUAUAAUUUGGGAAUAUUAGCGGCAGCAUUAGAUGAUGAGGCAGUAUUUCUCGUGGUAGUGUGGUAGACUUGGGGGACUUUUUUUUUCCCCCUUCCUUUCUCUUUUCCUUCACUAGUUAUUAUAGAUUAAUCCAUAAUCCUCACCACCUAAAGACAUUUUUGUCAGUGAAGCUCAGGGAUAGAGCCGGUAGAAUUUUUUUUUUUUUUGAAUAUAUCUGUGCUCCUGCUCAUUUCCCCUCAGCAUGAUGUCACAUUGUCACAUCUCCUACUGAAAAUACUCUAUUGCCAGCUCCUCUCAGAUAUACCGUUUCAUUUUGGCAGAGCUGAGGUGGGACUUAUCAGUUUAUGUAACCGGAAAUUUUCUACAUCGUGUACACUGUUUCAUUUAUUUAACAUUAUGCUCUGUAGAAUGAGCUUCAUUGCUCAUAAUAAGGCAGAAAUGCACAUAAUGAGUUGAUGUAAACCACUUUGUUUCUGUCUUUUUAUGAAUGAGAUGUUGUGUAUGGCGUGAACAGAUCAAGAUCAAGUUGUGCAGCUGUGUCAUAAUGUCAUGCUUUUACUAGACUUGAAGGGUUGUCGUGUGCCUGGAAUGCAUAUAGCAGUUUAAAAUCCAAACUCCAUUGACAAAACAAUCCAUGUUAUUGAUGUUUUGUUCCAUAUGUCUGCAUUUAGUGCUCUACAGCGACAAACGGAAUAAAGAGAGGGCUGCCUUGGAUGCAGGAAAUGCUGGAAUAUCAUUUGAUGUACGGUGAAAACCAUGUAUCUCCAAAUUUGGGAAAAAUGACCUACAUUCAGCUAUUUAAAAAAUGUUUCGCGAUGAAGCAAAAAAAGCUGAUAUUUAAUGCAUUCCCUUUACAUUGUGUUCAGCCAAAAAUGAAAUAAAAAUCAGUGUAUCGAAUGUUUCCUUGCUUUAAACCGUGCAAUAAAAGCAGAUCAACAGAA